AUUGAACGCUGGCGGCAUGCCUUACACAUGCAAGUCGAACGGCAGCAUGCUCUAGCUUGCUAGAUUGAUGGCGAGUGGCGAACGGGUGAGUAAUACAUCGGAACGUGCCCAGUAGGGGGGGAUAACUAGUCGAAAGAUUAGCUAAUACCGCAUACGACCUGAGGGUGAGAGUGGGGGACCGCAAGGCCUCAUGCUAUAGGAGCGGCCGAUGUCUUAUUAGCUAGUUGGUGAGGUAAAGGCUCACCAAGGCGACGAUCAGGAGCUGGUCUGAGAGGACGAUCAGCCACACUAGGACUGAGACACGGCCCAGAGUCCUACGGGAGGCAGCAGUGGGGAAUUUUGGGCAAUGGGCGAAAGCCUGAUACAGCAAGGCCGCGUGUGUGAAGAAGGCCUUCGGGUUGUAAAGCACUUUUGUCCGGAAAGAAAUGGCUCUGGUUAAGACCUGGGGUCGAUGACGGUACCGGAAGAAUAAGGACCGGCUAACUACGUG
rnacentral:rRNA from 1 species